rnacentral:lncRNA from 1 species
AAAGCAGGGGCUCUGCAGACGCAACAGAUGCAUCAUGGGCUGCAUCACAGCCUCUCGCUGUGGGUAACUCUCCGCUGGCCACAGAAACACCACAGGACGUGUCCGAGGGUUGCAAUGUAAACCUGUGAUCAUCCGCACCCAGCUCACAGCAAAGCAGGUGCCGGGAGGAGAGGUCUCCAGAAGAUGUGGGGGCAGGCGGGAUGGGCCAUGGUGUGUCCUCGUGUCCCUGCCCUCCUGCUGCUGGUGCUCGGUACUCUCGAGGCUCCAGUCCUGUUCCUUAACACUUCCAGAGCUCAGGAAGGAGAAAUUGUUCUGGCUCAGUGUGUCCUUCGGAGGAUGGUUCCUGCUACCCGAAUUGUCUUCUGCAAGGAUGGAAUCGAAGAGUACAUCGUGAAAGCCCAAGAGGGCAAGGUUAUCUACUCGAUGCUGCUGAACAUCUCUGCAAGAAGCAGUGGGAUUUACACAUGUGGGUACCAGCACAGGAAUGUGAGCAAUGUGCUGUGGAGCUCUGCCCUCAGUGCUUCCCAGGACCUGAAGGUCACAGGCCGUGUGUCCAGCUCCACAAAAGGGACAGCACCCGCAGGUGAGGGUCUCCCCUUUAUUCCUGCUGACCCCAUCCCUUCCCGUUCUCCCCAUCCCUCACCUCUGUCCCCAUCCCAUUAUAACGUCCCCAUCACUCCUCAAUGUCUGCAUGACUCCCCUCAGUCCCCAUCACGUACCAAAGCCCCAUUCCCUCUCCUUCGUCCCCAUCUAUCCAAUUUGUCUCCAGACCCAUGCACUCCGUUGGGCCCCACAUGCAUCGCAGUGGCAUCUGUGGCAGUCACCCUCCUCCUGCCUACAGUCACCUACUGGAUCAUCAAGAAAGGUAACAAAUUGUGGGAACUGUGAAGGAUCCACGAGGCUGUCACAAACCUGAUGUGGGACAAUUCUUCUUGCAGGUGCCUGCAGGGAGAGAUGCCGAAGGUGAGCAGUAAGGGGCUGGGCUGAGCAGGGG